GUGCUUGAUUCGGCAGCACAUAUACUUAGAAUGGCCCCUGCGCAAGGAUGACAUGCAAAUUUGUGAAAUGUUUCCAAAAAAA
ensembl:snRNA U6 U6 spliceosomal RNA